GGAAAGGUGGCAGAGUUGGUCUAUUGCAUCGGUUUUGAAAACCGACGUAGUCUUAGAAGCUACCGGGGGUUCGAAUCCCUCCCUUUCCG